AGUGGCAUGCUCUAGACCCGAAGCGGAGUGAUCUACCCAUGGCCAGUGUGAAGCGACGGUAAGACGUCGUGGAGGCGCGAACCCACUUAGGUUGAAAACUGAGGGGAUGAGUUGUGGGUAGGGGUGAAAGGCCAAUCAAACUCCGUGAUAGCUGGUUCUCCCCGAAAUGCAUUUAGGUGCAGCGUCGCAUGUUUCACCUCGGAGGUAGAGCUACUGGAUGGCCGAUGGGCCCUACAAGGUUACUGACGUCAGCCAAACUCCGAAUGCCGAGGUGUGAGAGUGCGGCAGUGAGACUGUGGGGGAUAAGCUUCAUAGUCGAGAGGGAAACAGCCCAGAUCGCCGGCUAAGGCCCCUAAGCGUGUACUAAGUGGAAAAGGAUGUGGGAUCGCUGAGACAGCCAGGAGGUUGGCUUAGAAGCAGCCACCCUUGAAAGAGUGCGUAAUAGCUCACUGGUCAAGUGGUCCUGCGCCGACAAUUUAGCGGGGCUCAAGUACACCGCCGAAGCCGCGGCAUUCAUACAAUAACCUCCUCCGGGCAGGUGUAUGGAUGGGUAGGGGAGCGUCGUGUGGCCAUAGAAGCGCCGGAGUGAUCCAGGCGUGGAGGCCACACGAGUGAGAAUGCAGGCAUGAGUAGCGAAUGACGAGUGAGAAACUCGUCCGCCGAAUGAUCAAGGGUUCCUGGGUCAAGCUAAUCUGCCCAGGGUGAGUCGGGACCUAAGGCGAGGCCGACAGGCGUAGUCGAUGGACAACGGGUUGAUAUUCCCGUACCCGUGUGUGCGCGCCCAUGGUGAAUCAGUGAUACUAACCGCCCUGAACGUCCUAGAGCAUCCUUCGGGAUGACGUGGACCGGAUGCGCGGGACCUGAACUGGUAGUAGCCAAGCGAUGGGGUGACGCAGGAAGGUAGCUGGGCCAGUCAGUGGUUGUACUGGUGUAAGAGUGUAGGCCGUGACAUAGGCAAAUCCGUGUCACAUCAAGGCUGAGACUUGAUGCAUACCCGUUGUGGGGAAUUCAGUGAUCCUAUGCUGCCGAGAAAAGCCUCUAGUGAGUUCAUACACGGCCCGUACCCCAAACCGACACAGGUGAUCAGGUAGAGAAUACCAAGGCGAUCGAGAGAACUGUGGUUAAGGAACUCGGCAAAAUGCCCCCGUAACUUCGGGAGAAGGGGGACCACGCCCGGUGACGAUCCUUGCGAUCUGAGCUGGGGGUGGUCGCAGAGACCAGAGAGAAGCGACUGUUUACUAAAAACACAGGUCCGUGCGAAGACGUAAGUCGAUGUAUACGGACUGACGCCUGCCCGGUGCUGGAAGGUUAAGAGGACCGGUUAGCCGCAAGGCGAAGCUGAGAAUUUAAGCCCCAGUAAACGGCGGUGGUAACUAUAACCAUCCUAAGGUAGCGAAAUUCCUUGUCGGGUAAGUUCCGACCUGCACGAAUGGCGUAACGACUUCUCUGCUGUCUCGACCACAGACUCGGCGAAAUUGCACUACGAGUAAAGAUGCUCGUUACGCGCGGCAGGACGAAAAGACCCCGGGACCUUUACUAUAGCUUGGUAUUGGCGUUCGAUUCGGUUUGUGUAGGAUAGGUGGGAGACUGUGAAGCAUGCACGCCAGUGUGUGUGGAGUCGUUGUUGAAAUACCACUCUGAUCGUAUUGGACGUCUAACCUCGGCCCAUGAUCUGGGUUAGGGACAGUGCCUGGUGGGUAGUUUAACUGGGGCGGUUGCCUCCUAAAGAGUAACGGAGGCGCCCAAAGGUUCCCUCAGCCUGGAUGGCAAUCAGGUGUUGAGUGCAAGUGCACAAGGGAGCUUGACUGUGAGACUGACACGUCGAGCAGGGACGAAAGUCGGGACUAGUGAUCCGGCACCGGCAAGUGGAAGCGGUGUCGCUCAACGGAUAAAAGGUACCCCGGGGAUAACAGGCUGAUCUUCCCCAAGAGUCCAUAUCGACGGGAUGGUUUGGCACCUCGAUGUCGGCUCGUCGCAUCCUGGGGCUGGAGUAGGUCCCAAGGGUUGGGCUGUUCGCCCAUUAAAGCGGCACGCGAGCUGGGUUUAGAACGUCGUGAGACAGUUCGGUCUCUAUCCGCCGCGCGCGUAAGAAACUUGAGGAAGGCUGUCCCUAGUACGAGAGGACCGGGACGGACGAACCUCUGGUGUGCCAGUUGUUCCACCAGGAGCAUCGCUGGUUAGCUACGUUCGGAAGGGAUAACCGCUGAAAGCAUCUAAGCGGGAAGCCUGUUCCAAGAUGAGGUUUCUCACCACCUUCGCGUGGUUAAGGCCCCCCACAGACCAUGGGGUUGAUAGGCCGGAACUGGAAGCGCAGCAAUGCGUGCAGGUGACCGGUACUAAUCGGCCGAGGGCUUACACAC
rnacentral:rRNA from 1 species